UUUAUGUUGUUCAAGAGGGUUUUACAGAAUUUUAUGGUCUAAUGUCAUGAGGAAUUUUCUAAUGUUUUGUAUUUUGAUGAACUUUUCAGAUAUACAAAUCAUUUUCCAUGCUCAAUUUGCAAUUUUGGGUACAUUUUUCUCUACGAUUUGCAUUAUUAUUUGUUCUAUUACAAGAGAACAUAGUAAACUUGACCAUAUUUUAAUGGGGAAAGACAUAGGGUUUGGACCAGACUUGUGACAUUUUGGUUGCUUUAGAUUUUUAGAAAUUUUUUUAUAGAAAUUUUUUGUCUAAUUUGCAGGGGAACUUUUAAUCCUUUGUUUUAACUUUUUCAGGGUAGAAGUUGUAGAUAAAUUGCUUAGUGCAUUUGCUUUAUAAGGGACAAUGAUGUAUCACAUAUCUUGGCAAAAUAACGAGGACUACAUUGGAAGUUUGGAGUUUCAGAAAGAUAUCAAGCCUUGAAGGAAACUACCAGUUGGGAUCUUCAAGUGGAACAAAAAUUUACAGGAACUUGAAUAUUGCAGAAGUCGGGUAUUUCAAAAAGGCGGGAACUUAUUCCUGAAGUUACACAAUUUCAAAUACCACAGUCAGAAAGCAAAAAUGGAGAUAAUGAGCAAAAAUAGCAAAAGCAUAAAAGAACUCCAACAAAUUUAUUUGGAACAAGAAGAUAACCAGAUUAAAGGAAAAAGAAUAAGAGUCAUCAACGACAUGGCAAAGGAAUAGGCUCGUGGGUGUGGAUGCAGGACAUCAACACCACAAGGAUAAAAUAUUUUUGUUUCUUAUAUAUUAGGUGUUGUAAACACAUUGGACG